AUAUGGUUGCGGGCAUUCACUUCACUAACUGCUCCAAAGUCCAGUUCGCCAUGAAUCCGUAUCAUUGCUCAGCUCAGCAGCUCUUCUGUCUCAACCGUCAAUUUGGUGAACAACCUUGGUACCAUUGCAAGGUCUAGCACCAAGGAAUUUAUGGAAGCCUUGGCUGCUGGUGCAGAUCUUGUUGUAGAUAAGGUCAUUGUUACUACCAAGCACAAUGAUGAUGAGCAGUAUGUGUGGGAGUCGCUCUGAUUCAAUGUUUAUGGUAUGUGGAGUGAUGAAGGAUCAAUUAAUUAUGUAAAUGAAAUGAUGUAAUUGAUUUUGAGUGGUAUGAAGUUGUACACUUUUAUCGUACCGAUUAUGUAAAUGAAAUGAUGUAGUUGUUAACUUCCAGUAAGUGGUAUGAACAGUAUAAUAACUGUUCAUACCCUGUAACUGAGUUGAUUUU